GACGAACGCUGGAGGCGUGCUUAACACAUGCAGGUCGAACGGAAAGGCCCUGCUUUUGUGGGGUGCUCGAGUGGCGAACGGGUGAGUAACACGUGAGUAACCUGCCCUUGACUUUGGGAUAACUUCAGGAAACUGGGGCUAAUACCGGAUAGGAGCUCCUGCUGCAUGGUGGGGGUUGGAAAGUUUCGGCGGUUGGGGAUGGACUCGCGGCUUAUCAGCUUGUUGGUGGGGUAGUGGCUUACCAAGGCUUUGACGGGUAGCCGGCCUGAGAGGGUGACCGGCCACAUUGGGACUGAGAUACGGCCCAGACUCCUACGGGAGGCAGCAGUGGGGAAUAUUGCACAAUGGGCGGAAGCCUGAUGCAGCAACGCCGCGUGCGGGAUGACGGCCUUCGGGUUGUAAACCGCUUUCGCCUGUGACGAAGCGUGAGUGACGGUAAUGGGUAAAGAAGCACCGGCUAACUACGUG
rnacentral:rRNA from 1 species